GUGGGGAAUCUUAGACAAUGGGGGAAACCCUGAUCUAGCCAUGCCGCGUGAUCGAUGAAGGCCUUAGGGUUGUAAAGAUCUUUCAGCUGGGAAGAUAAUGACGGUACCAGCAGAAGAAGCCCCGGCUAACUCCGUGCCAGCAGCCGCGGUAAUACGGAGGGGGCUAGCGUUAUUCGGAAUUACUGGGCGUAAAGCGCACGUAGGCGGAUCAGAAAGUCAGAGGUGAAAUCCCAGGGCUCAACCUUGGAACGGCCUUUGAAACUCCUGGUCUUGAGUUCGGGGGAGGUGAGUGGAAGUACGAGUGUAGAGGUGAAAUUCGUAGAUAUUCGGAGGAACACCAGUGGCGAAGGCGGCUCACUGGCUCGAUACUGACGCUGAGGUGCGAAAGCGUGGGGAGCAAACAGGAUUAGAUACCCGUGUAGUCC
rnacentral:rRNA from 1 species